rnacentral:lncRNA from 1 species
CAAAUAGGGCAUUGUUCAGAGGUAUACAUAAAGGCAUUUAGAUCCAAUCUUUAGGAUUGUCUGUACUCCUUUGAACUAUUUGUAAGGUUUUUUUUUUUCUUUUGUUGUUGUUAGUAUGUGUGUUUUGGCUAUCGUUUUUAAAAUCAAUGCUACCAAUUAAAAUUUAAACUGUUGAUGUUUACAGUAUGUGACACUUAAAGAGAUGCCUGCCAUGCUUGUUUUCAAAGAUGAAACUUACUUUGUUUAUGAUGAGUUUGAAGAUGGUGAUCUGUCAGCAUGGAUCAGUAGGGAAAGGUUUCAGAAUUAUCUUACUAUGGAUGGCUUCCUCUUAUAUGAACUUGGAGACACAGGAUGAAGACUCCCUUGCUGCUAAAUGCUGAGCCAGGUGUCAACAAGAAGGGUACAGCACACUCUUAUGUCACCAAGUUUCCCAGAGAUGCCAGCCUAACUAAGCACCAACAGCUCCUGAGGGCGGGAUGGAGGACAGAGAUAAAUAGGACAAACCUGGGAGAAGAUUGUCAUAAUGGAGGUCCUGAGCUCUCAGUUCUGGAGUGGUUUCUCAACUGGAAAUGCAGAGAAACACACACACACACACACACACACACACACACACACACACACUCAUGUAGAGAAAUACAGAGAACUUACUUUAAACAAAAAGGCAAUAUCAUUAUUCUGAGAAAUUAAUUUCAUUACCUAAUGCAAUCAGUCCAAGAAACUUAAUAGCUAUAAUUAAGAACUCAAUAUCACAGAUGAACCAAGUCCUUAAUGUGUUAUCUGCCCUACUAAAAGUUACACAGCAUUUUACUAGUAAAACCAUCACCAAAAGUAAGAUGAUCUUGGUUUAGAAUCACAGGUGUUAAUCUUUUAACACAAGGUUAUUCUUGUCAAAGUCCACAUAGGAUCAGUGGGUGGACAGGUUCCUCAGCCCAAGCCUUCUGAAUGGACAAUGCCAGAGCUCUAGCCCU